GGGGGUGCAAGGUUUCGACAAGUGUUCUUUUUGUAUUAUGCAAGUUGCGUAUUCUAGAAUCGCAUUAAACUUCUAGAAAAAAUCUUAAAUGCAAAAGCAUUUUCAGGUGUGCAAACACCUGCUUUAGCUGUAGCGUAGUAAUACGCCUAUCAGUCAUCCCGAUUAGUGAUACUCAAUAGCUUUCCUCGGGGUGUUAUAUUUAUUGAGUUAGUCUUUCGUAGUGCUCCGCAUGAAAGAUGAAACUAAGGAGCUGGGUAUAUACAUAUUUUGUACUUUUUUUACUGUAUAUGCUGAGAUAUUAAAAAGUGCUAAACUUGUAGAUGUAAUAUAGAUAGACGUUUUGGACGGGGGUUCGAUACCCCCCACCUCCACCA
rnacentral:tmRNA from 1 species